rnacentral:rRNA from 1 species
UACGGAGGGUGCAAGCGUUAUCCGGAUUCACUGGGUUUAAAGGGUGUGUAGGCGGCCUUUUAAGUCAGUGGUGAAAUCUCCGGGCUCAACCCGGAAACUGCCAUUGAUACUAUUAGUCUUGAAUUCUGUUGAGGUAGGCGGAAUAUAUCAUGUAGCGGUGAAAUGCUUAGAUAUGAUAUAGAACACCGAUUGCGAAGGCAGCUUACUAAGCAGAUAUUGACGCUGAGGCACGAAAGCGUGGGGAUCAAACAGG